rnacentral:rRNA from 1 species
GACGAACGCUGGCGGCGUGCUUAACACAUGCAAGUCGAACGAAGAGCGACGGAAGCUUGCUUCUAUCAAUCUUAGUGGCGAACGGGUGAGUAACGCGUAAUCAACCUGCCCUUCAGAGGGGGACAACAGUUGGAAACGACUGCUAAUACCGCAUACGAUCUAACCUCGACAUCGAGGAUAGAUGAAAGGUGGCCUCUACAUGUAAGCUAUCACUGAAGGAGGGGACUGCGUCUGAUUAGCUAGUUGGAGGGGUAACGGCCCACCAAGGCGAUGAUCAGUAGCCGGUCUGAGAGGAUGAACGGCCACAUUGGGACUGAGACACGGCCCAGACUCCUACGGGAGGCAGCAGUGGGGAAUCUUCCGCAAUGGACGAAAGUCUGACGGAGCAACGCCGCGUGAGUGAUGACGGCCUUCGGGUUGUAAAGCUCUGUUAAUCGGGACGAAAGGCCUUCUUGCGAAUAGUGAGAAGGAUUGACGGUACCGGAAUAGAAAGCCACGGCUAACUACGUG